GACGAACGCUGGCGGCGUGCUUAACACAUGCAAGUCGAACGGUGAAGGGGAGCUUGCUCCCCGGAUCUGUGGCGAACGGGUGAGUAACACGUGGGCAACCUGCCCCAGACUUCGGGAUAACGCUUCGAAAGAGGUGCUAAUACCGGAUACGAACUCCUUGGGCAUCCUGGGAGUUGGAAAGUUUUUCGGUCUGGGAUGGGCCCGCGGCCUAUCAGCUAGUCGGUGAGGUAACGGCUCACCAAGGCGACGACGGGUAGCCGGCCUGAGAGGGCGACCGGCCACACUGGGACUGAGACACGGCCCAGACUCCUACGGGAGGCAGCAGUGGGGAAUAUUGCGCAAUGGGCGAAAGCCUGACGCAGCAACGCCGCGUGAGGGAUGACGGCCUUCGGGUUGUAAACCUCUUUCAGCAGGGAAGAAGCGAAAGUGACGGUACCUGCAGAAGAAGCACCGGCUAACUACGUGCCAGCCGCCGCCGUAA
rnacentral:rRNA from 1 species